AUAUAGGUCAAGCUACAAAGGGCGCAUGGUGAAUGCCUUGGCAUCAGGAGCCGAUGAAGGACGUGAUAAGCUGCGAUAAGCUUCGGGUAGGCGCACAUAGCCUGAGAUCCGAAGAUCUCCGAAUGAGGAAACUCACAUGGGAAACCCCAUGUAUCAUUAAGUGAAUACAUAGCUUAAUGAAGGUAACCCAGGGAACUGAAACAUCUAAGUACCUGGAGGAAGAGAAAGAAAAAUCGAUUUUCUUAGUAGCGGCGAGCGAAAGGGAAAGAGCCCAAACCGGAAACUUGUUUCCGGGGUUGUGGACAUAGCAUAAAAGUGGAGGCUAUUGUAACUGAAGAGAACUGGAAAGUUCCACCGUAGAAGGUAAUAGUCCUGUAAGUGAAAUGAGAAGACCACGAGUUAUGAUCCAGAGUACCACGAGACACGUGAAACCUUGUGGGAAGCAGGGAGGACCACCUCCCAAGGCUAAAUACUACCUGAUGACCGAUAGUGAAGCAGUACCGUGAGGGAAAGGUGAAAAGAACCCCGGGAGGGGAGUGAAAUAGAACCUGAAACCGUGUGCCUACAACCGCUCAGAGCCCCUUAUGAGGGUGAUGAGGUGCUUUUUGUAGAACGAGCCAACGAGUUACGGUAUGUAGCAAGGUUAAGUACUUAAGGUACGGAGCCGAAGGGAAACCGAGUCUGAAUAGGGCGACUAGUUGCAUGCCGUAGACCCGAAACCGGGUGACCUAUCCAUGGCCAGGUUGAAGCGAGGGUAAAACCUCGUGGAGGACCGAACCACGUUGCUGUUGAAAAAGCAUGGGAUGAGCUGUGGAUAGCGGAGAAAUUCCAAUCGAACCCGGAGAUAGCUGGUUCUCUCCGAAAUAGCUUUAGGGCUAGCGUCGAGUAUGAGUAGUGGAGGUAGAGCACUGAAUGGGCUAGGGGGCAUAGCGCUUACCGAACCUUAUCAAACUCCGAAUGCCACAUACUUUGAGCUCGGCAGUCAGACUACGAAUGAUAAGAUCCGUGGUCAAAAGGGAAACAGCCCAGAUCGUCAGCUAAGGUCCCAAAGUGUAAGUUAAGUGGGAAAGGAUGUGAGAUUUCUAAGACAACUAGGAUGUUGGCUUAGAAGCAGCCAUUCAUUAAAAGAGUGCGUAAUAGCUCACUAGUCGAGAGAUCUUGCGCCGAAAAUGUAACGGGGCUAAACUUACCACCGAAGCUACGGGCUUGAACUUAGUUCAAGCGGUAGGAGAGCGUCGUAACCGGGCUGAAGUCGUACCGUAAGGAGCGGUGGACUGGUUACGAGUGAGAAUGUUGGCAUCAGUAGCGAGAUGUGGGUGAGAAUCCCACAGGCCGAAAACCUAAGGUUUCCUCAGGAAGGUUCGUCCGCUGAGGGUUAGUCGGGACCUAAGCCGAGGCCGAAAGGCGUAGGUGAUGGACAACUGGUUGAUAUUCCAGUACCACUACCAUCGUUAUUAUCGAUGGCGUGACGCAGGAGGAUAGUGUGUGCUAGCUAUUGGAUGCUAGUCUAAGCGUUUAGGCAGUGAGAGUAGGCAAAUCCGCUCUCAUAAUGCUGAGGCGUGAUGGGGAAGGUUCCACGGAACCGAAGUACAUGAUUCCACGCUGCCAAGAAAAGCGUCUAGAGAGAGAAGUAGUGCCCGUACCGCAAACCGACACAGGUAGGUGAGGAGAGAAUCCUAAGGCCGGCGGAAGAAUUACAGUUAAGGAACUCGGCAAAUUGACCCCGUAAGUUCGCGAGAAGGGGUGCCUACGAGAGUAGGCCGCAGAGAAUAGGCCCAAGCAACUGUUUAGCAAAAACACAGGUCUCUGCUAAAGCGUAAGCUGAUGUAUAGGGGCUGACGCCUGCCCGGUGCUGGAAGGUUAAGGGGAACACUUAGCGCAAGCGAAGGUGUGAACUUAAGCCCCAGUAAACGGCGGCCGUAACUAUAACGGUCCUAAGGUAGCGAAAUUCCUUGUCAGGUAAGUUCUGACCCGCACGAAUGGCGUAAUGACUUGGGCACUGUCUCAACUGUAAAUCCGGCGAAGUUGUAGUGCGAGUGAAGAUGCUCGCUACCCGCGAUUGGACGGAAAGACCCCGUAGAGCUUUACUGUAGCUUAGCAUUGAGUUUUGGUAUUGUCUGUACAGGAUAGGUGGGAGACUAGGAAACCAGGGCGUCAGCCUUGGUGGAGUCAACCUUGGGAUACCACCCUGACAGUACUGAAAUUCUAACUGGCGGCCAUGAAUCUGGUCACAGGACAUUGUUAGGUGGGCAGUUUGACUGGGGCGGUCGCCUCCUAAAAAGUAACGGAGGCGCCCAAAGGUUCCCUCAGAACGGUCGGAAAUCGUUCGAAGAGUGCAAAGGCAGAAGGGAGCCUGACUGCGACACCCACAAGUGGAGCAGGGACGAAAGUCGGGCUUAGUGAUCCGGUGGUACCUCGUGGGAGGGCCAUCGCUCAACGGAUAAAAGCUACCUCGGGGAUAACAGGCUGAUCUCCCCCAAGAGUCCACAUCGACGGGGAGGUUUGGCACCUCGAUGUCGGCUCGUCGCAUCCUGGGGCUGAAGUAGGUCCCAAGGGUUGGGCUGUUCGCCCAUUAAAGCGGCACGCGAGCUGGGUUCAGAACGUCGUGAGACAGUUCGGUCCCUAUCCGUCGCGGGCGUAGGAAAUUUGAGAGGAGCUGUCCUUAGUACGAGAGGACCGGGAUGGACUGACCUCUGGUGUACCAGUUGUUCCGCCAGGAGCACAGCUGGGUAGCUAAGUCGGGAAUGGAUAAACGCUGAAAGCAUCUAAGCGUGAAGCCAACCUCAAGAUGAGAUUUCCCAUAGCGUAAGCUAGUAAGAUCCCUUGAAGAACACAAGGUUGAUAGGUCGGGGGUGUAAGCAUGGUAACAUGUUCAGCUGACCGAUACUAAUAGAUCGAGGGCUUGACCAAAU
rnacentral:rRNA from 1 species